UACGAAGGGGGCUAGCGUUGCUCGGAAUUACUGGGCGUAAAGCGCACGUAGGCGGACUCUUAAGUCGGUGGUGAAAUCCUGGAGCUCAACUCCAGAACUGCCUUCGAUACUGGGAGUCUUGAGUCCGGGAGAGGUGAGUGGAACUGCGAGUGUAGAGGUGAAAUUCGUAGAUAUUCGCAAGAACACCAGUGGCGAAGGCGGCUCACUGGCCCGGUACUGACGCUGAGGUGCGAAAGCGUGGGGAGCAAACAGGG
rnacentral:rRNA from 1 species